AGUUUCGGCGUUUUUUCCAGAGAGGCAGGCUCACAGCGAUAUCGCGAGAGACGGGAAUUGCUCUGUCACGCAAGCUGGAGUGCAGUGGUGCCAUCUCGGCUCACUGUGACCUCUGCCUCCUGGGCUCAAGCCAUCCUCCCACCUCAGCCCUUCAAGUAGCUGGGAUUACAGGUCACCAUCCUCUCACUCGCCUCUGACUUUUCGCACAGGAGAGAGCUGGUCGAAUAGUACAAUUCCCCGAUGUGAAUGGGGAGAAGCUGGGGAAAGGAAGAAUGAUCUUCAGGCAGUAAGGGCCCCUACUCCAGUAUGAUUGGUGUCCUUAUAAAAAGGAGAAAUUGGACACAGACACCCUACCAAGAAGAACACUAUGUGAAGAUGAAGGCAGAGAUCAGGGUGAUGCCUCUACUUGCUGAGAAACUCCUACAGUUGCCAGCCCACCACUAGAAGCAAAGGAAGAAGCACAGCCCUCAGAAGGAACCAACCCUGCUAAUGCCUUGGUCUUGGACUUGCAGCCUCCAGAACAGCGAGCCAAUACAUUCCUGUGGUUUAAGCCACUGACUGUGGCACUUUAUUACAGCAGCACUAGGAAACUCAUACAGGAGGUGACAGUGCUCAGAUGAAACAGGACCUUCCACUUCCAUGGCAAAGCCCUCAUCUUUCGUGCCCAUGCGCCAUUUGAUCUGCACACAAAUCACUGAGCAGGUUCCUCAGCUAUUAUUAUCCCCACCUUUCAGAUGGAAAGAACUGAAGCUCAAGAGGGCCAAAGAAAUUUGGCUAUGGCUUUCUUUAUUUUCUUUUUCAUGGGCAGAAGUAGAUUUCAGUUUUGGUCCCUUUCCACUACCAUAUCAGGUUGCCUUAAGGCAACUUUGAAAAGUCUAAAAUAUUAAACAGUUUGUGAAGUUAUUAUCAUUAUUCAUAAAGGACAGCGCGAGGUUAGUCUUACCCUAGAGAGCCCCAUUGUUGGCCCAAAGCAUCUUGCCAGGAGCCCUAUAGGACCAUGUUUUCAAGGCCCCCAAAGAGCACAGGGCUAUUGGUCCAUCCCAGCUCCUGGAAUGGCUCAUUGUACCCACCCUGCCUCCAGCUGAGGAGCCAGGGAGAAGCACUGACCCCUGAUCUUGCUAUCCCUUCCAUUACACUCUUGCCAGAGGAGCUUUUUUCAGGGGUGGCCGCUUCCCUCUCCUCAAGAGAAUUCUGGGGACCAACCAGCUCAGGCCUGCUGUUGGCCUCAGGGUCACAUCUCACCCAGACACCCCCACCAUUCCCUCAGGUCUAGGGAUGCUGCUCCCCUACCAUGGGAUCUUCUUUUUAUUUUUAUUUAUUUAUAUUUUCCUUAUGCCUAGUGUAAAGGGAUUUCUUUUCUUUUUUGUUUUUGUUUUUUUUUUGAGAUGGAGUCUUGCUCUGUCACCCAGGCUGGAGUGCAGUGCAGUGGCGCUAUCUCGGCUCACUGCAACCUCCACCUCCUGGGUUCAAGUGAUUCUCCUGCCUCAGCCUCCCAGGAGCUGGGAUUACAGGUGUGCCACCACAUUUGGCUAAUUUUUUUACUUUUAGUAGAGAUGGGGUUUCACCAUGUUGGCCAGGCUAGUCUCGAUCUCCUGACCUCAGGUGAUCCACCCGCCUCAGCCUCCCAGAAUGCUGGGAUUACAGGCAUGAGCCACCGCUCCCAGCCAGGAUCUUCUUUUUAAAGCUAUCACCACCCACUCUCAUUCCCCAGGACUCUCCUCACCCCUCCGGCUGCAAAGGCAGCUGGUGUCCCUACUGGCUCCUUCCUUUCUGCCCCUAAAGACAGGCACACAGGUGAUUUUCCUUUUAAGUGUUUUUCUGUGGAUUACUGCGGGGAAAUUGACAGGGGCUACAGGGGCUGAUAAAAGGAAUAAUCUUUGAUAUUCUUUCAGUUGGGUCGCUGAUUUUCUUGCUGGGCUGACAAGAGCAAUCUUCCCUACUUGGAAUCUUGGUUUUAUUCCUUAGCAUGGGCCUUAUCAAACCUACUUUUUAAUGAAGGGAGAAUGAAGAAGCCAUUGAAGCAGACCUCUAGCUGCCAGUCAGGUCUGCUCUGAAGGCUGCCUAUCUGCGGGGACAUGUGACUUCUGGGGCUUUCCAGAUUAAGUAAUGCUCACCCCACAUGUCUGAAAUUCUCCAAACACUAUUCCGGCCCUGCUGUGAUUCUUAGAGCAGAGGUUCUUUGCCUUUUUAGUGUAAUGGAUCCCUCAGCAACUUGGUGAGCCCUUCUCAGAAUAAAGUUUCUAAUGCAGAAAGUAAAACACAUGGGAUAAUAAGGGAAGUCAUGUCCUUUGAAAUCCUUAUCAAAAAUAUUUUUCAAAUUUUGUGAUAUAAUAAGUUUGGUUGCUAUUAUAUAGCAUAAUAUAACUUCAUAUCUAAUAGCUAUUGUUAUUUUGAAGUAGUGGUGAAUAUAUAUGCUAUUUUGAGAUGUCUAAAACAACUGUAAUGUGUUACAAAAAUAUCCAUGAUUUCUAUCGGUGACAAAGUCAAAAGUAUCGUGAAUACGUCUGUGAUUUGCAAGCUACAUCCAAAAUGGAAGGAAAUCCUAAUGUUUGGUUAGUGAUUGAUAAAAAUAAAGAUGUGGGCGGGCGCGGUGGCUCACGCCUGUAAUCCCAGCACUUUGGGAAGCCAAGGCGGGCAGAUCAUGAAGUCAGGAGAUCAAGAUCAUCCUGGCCAGCAUGGUGAAACGCCGUCUCUACUAAAAAUAAAAAAAUUAGCUGGGCAUGGUGGCGUGUGUCUGUAGUCCCAGCUACUUGGGAGGCUGAGACAGGAGAAUCACUUGAACCCAGGAGGCG
rnacentral:lncRNA from 1 species